AUGGAGGCGGAGGACGGGCGGGCGGCGGAGGCGCAGCGGGAGAAGGAGGCCGGCAACGACGCCUACCGCAAGCAGUACCUCGAGACGGCCGUCGACCACUACACCCGCGGCGCCGCCCUCGACCCCCGCGACAUCUCCUUCCUCACCAACCGCGCCGCCGCCUACCUCCUCAUGUCCAAGUACAGGGAGUGCGUGAGGGACUGCGAGGAGGCGGUGGAGAGGGGCAGGGAGCUCCGCGCCGACAACAGGCUGCUCGCGCGGGCGCUGUCGCGGAAGGCGUCCGCGCUGCUAAAGCUCGCGGCCUGCGCCGCGGACUACGCGCCGGCGAUCAGGGCGCUGCAGCAGUCGCUGGCCGAGCACUACAGCGAGGACACGCGCGACAAGCUGGACCAGGCGGAGACCGCCAGGAAGGAGAUCGAGGAGCGGGAGCGGCUGGAUCAGGAAGCCGCCGACCACCACCGCCAGAGAGGCAAUGAAUUAUUCCAGAGGCAAAAUUAUCAGGAAGCAACAGCUCACUAUACUGAAGCCAUUGAAAAGAAUCCAAAUGAUCCCAGAGUCUUUAGCAAUAGAGCUCAAUGCCACAUCUAUCUAGGAAAUCUGCCUAAAGGUCUGGAAGAUGCCGAAAAAUGUAUUGAGUUGGAUCCUACUUUCCUGAAGGGCUAUGUGCGUAAAGCGAAUGUACAAUUCCUGAUGGAGUAUUAUGAAAGUGCUCUGGCAACAUACAUAGAGGGUCUGAAGUGUGACCCAAACAAUCUCGUUGUAAUUGAUGGCUUAAGGAGAUGUGCAGCAUGCAUUAACAGAUCUAAUGGCGGUGAUGUUGGGCCUGAUGAUUUGGAAGACAUCUUGGGAAAUGUUAGUUCAGACAAUGAUUUGCGUAAUAAACUCCAAAAACUCAUGGAAGAAGCUGCAGCACUCAAGAAGGAAGCCUCUGAUGAGCGCUUGAGGCGGAUUGAAUCUGAACGAAUGGCCAGGACAUCAGAGGACUUAUAUUUAAACCAAGUCCAACAACGAAGAGAAGCUGAGGAAUGUCUUUCGAAAAUAGAACAAGAGUUCCAACAACUUAAAGUACGACAAGAUGAGGUCAGUGAGGAAUUUCAGAAAGCCACCGAGCACAAUGAGAAUCUUCAGCAUCAGCUCACAGAAACAAUAAGAGCACUCGAGUCCAUGAGGGGCAAUGCAACGUCAGCUUCGCCUUCGUCUUCGGGAUCAGUGCUGGAUGAAAACCGCAUACCGUCAUACUUCAUCUGUCCUAUAUCUCAGGAUGUCAUGAACGACCCUCACAUUGCGGCGGACGGCUUCACCUACGAACGCGAUUUCAUCCGGAGCUGGUUCAGCACGGGCAGCGACACGUCCCCGAUGACCAACCUGCCGCUUGAACACGACGAGCUCAUCCCUAACAUCGCCCUCCGCUCCGCCAUCCAGGAGUGGCUCCAGCAGCAGAACGUGGCAGUGUGA
rnacentral:rRNA from 1 species